rnacentral:rRNA from 1 species
GGAAGGUGGGGAUGACGUCAAAUCAUCAUGCCCUUAUGACCUGGGCUACACACGUGCUACAAUGGAUGGUACAGAGGGCAGCUAAACCGCGAGGUCAAGCAAAUCCCAAAAAACCAUUCUCAUUUCGGAUUGCAGGCUGCAACUCGCCUGCAUGAAGCCGGAAUCGCUAGUAAUCGCGGAUCAGCAUGCCGCGGUGAAUACGUUCCCGGGCC